rnacentral:rRNA from 1 species
UGAGAGUAAGUAAUUCUCAGUAUCUCCUGCUCAAUGAUAAUUAAAUAGCCGCAUUUUGUGCUAAGGUAGCAUAAUCAUUUGCCUAAUAAUUAUAGGAUAGAAUGAAAGGAUGUGCAUGUGAGCUUCUUUAUUUUAGACACUCUUUUAAAUUAUUGAAUAAGUAAAAACCCUUAUUUAAUUAGGGGGACGACAAGACCCUAUUAAACUUCACACUUUUGUUUGGCUGGGGCGGCAAAAAACUAUAACUUUUAUCUUUCUAGCAAAUAAAACUUUUUGAUAAAAAUCUACCAAGUUACUAUAGGGAUAACAGCAUAAUCCCUCUUUAUAGACCUUAUAGUGAGGGGGGCUUGUGACCUCGAUGUUGAAUUAGGAACCUCUUAGAAGCAGCCUUCUAAAAAGAAAGUCUGUUCGACUUUUAAACCCCU